rnacentral:misc_RNA from 1 species
UCCGGUUCAUCACCGGCAGUCUCUUUAGAGUCCCCACCAUUACGUGUUGGCAACUAAAGAUAAGGGUUGCGCUCGUUACGGGACUUAACCCAACAUCUCACAACACGAGCUGACGACAGCCAUGCAGCACCUGUCUCUAGGUUCCUUUCGGCACAACCGCAUCUCUGCAGUCUUCCUAGGAUGUCAAGGGUAGGUAAGGUUCUUCGCGUUGCAUCGAAUUAAACCACAUGCUCCACCGCUUGUGCGGGCCCCCGUCAAUUCCUUUGAGUUUUAACCUUGCGGUCGUACUCCCCAGGCGGAAAACUUAUCGCGUUAGCUUCGAUACUAAACGGUCUUAGCCGUCCAACAUCUAGUUUUCAUCGUUUACAGCGUGGACUAC